AGGAAUAUUGGUCAAUGGGCGAGAGCCUGAACCAGCCAAGUAGCGUGCAGGAUGACGGCCCUAUGGGUUGUAAACUGCUUUUAUAAGGGAAUAAAGUGAGCCUCGUGAGGCUUUUUGCAUGUACCUUAUGAAUAAGGACCGGCUAAUUCCGUGCCAGCAGCCGCGGUAAUACGGAAGGUCCGGGCGUUAUCCGGAUUUAUUGGGUUUAAAGGGAGCGUAGGCCGGAGAUUAAGCGUGUUGUGAAAUGUAGGCGCUCAACGUCUGCACUGCAGCGCGAACUGGUUUCCUUGAGUACGCACAAAGUGGGCGGAAUUCGUGGUGUAGCGGUGAAAUGCUUAGAUAUCACGAAGAACUCCGAUUGCGAAGGCAGCUCACUGGAGCGCAACUGACGCUGAAGCUCGAAAGUGCGGGUAUCGAACAGGAUUAGAUACCCUGGUAGUCCGCACGGUAAACGAUGGAUGCCCGCUGUUGGUCUGAACAGGUCAGCGGCCAAGCGAAAGCAUUAAGCAUCCCACCUGGGGAGUACGCCGGCAACGGUGAAACUCAAAGGAAUUGACGGGGGCCCGCACAAGCGGAGGAACAUGUGGUUUAAUUCGAUGAUACGCGAGGAACCUUACCCGGGCUUGAAUUGCAGAGGAAGGAUUUGGAGACAAUGACGCCCUUCGGGGCCUCUGUGAAGGUGCUGCAUGGUUGUCGUCAGCUCGUGCCGUGAGGUGUCGGCUUAAGUGCCAUAACGAGCGCAACCCCUCUCCUUAGUUGCCAUCAGGUUAAGCUGGGCACUCUGGGGACACUGCCACCGUAAGGUGUGAGGAAGAUGGGGAUGACGUCAAAUCAGCACGGCCCUUACGUCCGGGGCUACACACGUGUUACAAUGGCAGGUACAGAGAGACGGUCCCUUGCAAAAUGGAUCAAAUCCUUAAAGCCUGUCUCAGUUCGGACUGGGGUCUGCAACCCGACCCCACGAAGCUGGAUUCGCUAGUAAUCGCGCAUCAGCCAUGGCGCGGUGAAUACGUUCCCG
rnacentral:rRNA from 1 species